GAUGAACGCUGGCGGCGUGCCUAAUACAUGCAAGUCGAGCGAACGGACGAGAAGCUUGCUUUUCUGAUGUUAGCGGCGGACGGGUGAGUAACACGUGGAUAACCUACCUAUAAGACUGGGAUAACUUCGGGAAACCGGAGCUAAUACCGGAUAAUAUUUUGAACCGCAUGGUUCAAAAGUGAAAGACGGUCUUGCUGUCACUUAUAGAUGGAUCCGCGCUGCAUUAGCUAGUUGGUAAGGUAACGGCUUACCAAGGCAACGAUGCAUAGCCGACCUGAGAGGGUGAUCGGCCACACUGGCACUGAGACACGGUCCAGACUCCUACGGGAGGAAGCAGUAGGGAAUCUUCCGCAAUGGGCGAAAGCCUGACGGAGCACCGCCGCGGGAGUGAUGAAGGUCUUCGGAUCGUAAAACUCUGUUAUUAGGGAAGAACAUAUGUGUAAGUAACUGUGCACAUCUUGACGGUACCUAAUCAGAAAGCCACGGCUAACUACGUG
rnacentral:rRNA from 1 species